GUAAGGCAGACCUUUCUCGGGCUCCCUCCUACCCACCUCUCUUUCCUAGAGAAGCUCCGCGAUCAUGUUUUGCUGCUGGACGAGGACCCAAAUGCUCUGGGCGCUGGGGUCAGGAAAGUGGGGAACCUCAAAUGAAAGGAGAGAUGGGGCUGUGGCUGUCAGCUGGAAAGUGCUGCUUGAAUUUGAGGUGCUGUGGGUCCUCAAAGCUGAUAACCAAGUGACCCCCUUGUGCCCGGAGGCCCUGCCUGCUACCCUGAGUGCCCUGCCUAGCACCAAGGAGCACCUUGCCAUUCUGCUGGUAUCCCUCUGAACUGCCAACAUCCCGGAAGUGAGGACUGGGGACACUCCACGGCUGGGAACAUCCUUCAGUCAAGAGUCAGGAUAGCCUAGUGGUUAAGAACUUGGCCAAGCCCAUGAACUGCAGGCCCAACUCUGCCCAUGUCCUAACUCUGUACUUUCCACCCAUGUUCUUGGGCCAGUUGCCUUCUUCUCUGUAUUCCAGGGUCCUUGUCUGUAAAAUAGGAUAAUAUGAGUGCCCACCAGAUAAGGAUUAAAUGAGUAACUCUAAUGUGCUCAGAAGAGUGUCCUGGUAGAUGGUAAACAUGUUAGUAUCCUUACUGUUACCUGACGUUUUUCUGGUUCCUGUAGUGAUGGAGGCUGACUAGGAGGUUCCUGAAUCAGUUAUGAAAGGAUGCUAGUGCAGUGAAGACUCUCCGGUGCAGCGACUGAAGUUUUCGGCGGAAUAGGACUCUUCUGAAGAAAUGAUUGUGGUAGACUCUCUUUGAAGAAAAGUUAACCUAUGCCCCUAAAUUUCACAAACCUUUUCAGAAGGUUUCAGUCCAUCCAUGGAAUUACUGGGGUCUAUAGCCUCUUGGUUAGGAAUUUCUGUUUUAUUGCCUUCUUAUUUAUUAGGUCAUCAGAACCACCCAUGCACAGCCAUGGAUGGAGUAAUGAUAAGCAUCUGACUAGAAAAUUUCGUUGUGGGUUCUAUCCACUGAUGGUCAGAAGAGAAAAUAAAAUGUAUGUGUGAUUGAAUCCAAAUUAGACUUUAUACAAUCUCUUUCUUGAGUAGUAUACCUUUGAAGCAUGCCAUUGCAAUCUUUAUCCAAGCCCAAUGAUACUGCCUUGAGAGAACCUUGGAGAAAUUCUUUCUGUUUCUAUCCCUAUGGUAGCUGCAUAUACCAAGGACUACUCUGCUAAGAAUUCCAAAUUCUGGAGAAAUGGAAGGUCAAAGUCAUGAAUAUCUUAGUUAACAAGGAAAAUUUCCUUAUUUCAAGUUGGAUGAAGAACUCUCUUUUGUACAAUGUUUAUAGGUUAGGGUUUGGAAGAACUUAAAUUAGAAAACAAAUAAUGGCAAGUGUACACUUUGAUAUGAUAUUACCCUGGAUGGCUUAAUUGUAAUUUGGUAGAAAUUAAGGUUUGGACACACAAGAGUUUAAUUUUCAGGUUGGACAGAAGCAUAUUUCAAAUCUCCUAAAAUACUGACUUAACAAGCGUGUUCUUGAUUUCUUUCUCUACUUCCCUACCAUAGCUUUUACAAAAUUAAUUUGUUACAUGGAAAUAUCCUAAUCAUUUUUCCAUCAAACCAUGGGUAUUCCAGAGGAAGAAAGGGGGCCUUUUUUUUUUUUUUUGAUUCCAUUAAGGGUUGAAAACCCAUAGAAAAAAAUAGUAGUUGAAGGCUACGUGAAAAACAAUCAAAGUAGUAUCAGUAUUUUCUCUUCUUAGACAUAGAAAUGACUGAUUUAAAAAUUAAGCACAAGGAAGAUAAAAGAAUACUUAUACAAUUGAAGUUUUAAUUAACUUGACUGUAAGAGUGUGGAAGUGGAUGGAGUUGAUGGUAACACAUUUUAGUGAGAAGCCGCUCACUAAAUGUGAGGCUGAAAAAGGUAGUCUAGGGAUGUAAAUGUCAACUGAAAGACAGCUAGAGAAUAAUCUAGGGACUGAAUAAUACAGCAAACCCAGAGGUGGAUGAGAACUGUGGUUAAUAGUACAAAUGCAAGAAAGUCCUUCUGUGAACUAGAAUGGAUGUCCUAUUGCAGGGUGGAGCAUGGGAAAAAGCAUGGAGAAGCAUGGGAAAAAUCUAAUUAGUGUACUCUAUGGCCUACCGUUAACAGCAAUACUGUAAUAUUCUUGCAUCAAUGCCAAAGAUGCAAUGUCUUAAUAAUGGGGGAUAUGAAAAAAAUAUGCCAAAUGUAUGCUAUGGUCAGUGGUAAUAGUCUGAUGGUAUUAUCUCAUAAUCUGUAACAAAUGUUCCACAACGGUGUGAUGUGUUGGUGAAGGGGUGUUGCAUGGGAAUUCCACACAUGUACAUGGUUGUUUUGUUAGUUUACAACUGCUGUAAUAAAAUUAUAUUAGAAAAGAAUAC
ensembl:lincRNA